rnacentral:rRNA from 1 species
AGUUUGAUCAUGGCUCAGAAUGAACGCUGGCGGCAGGCCUAACACAUGCAAGUCGAACGAGGUAGCAAUACCUAGUGGCGGACGGGUGAGUAACACGUGGGAACGUACCCUUUGCUACGGAAUAGCCCUGGGAAACUGGGAGUAAUACCGUAUGAGCCCGAGAGGGGAAAGAUUUAUCGGCAAAGGAUCGGCCCGCGUUGGAUUAGGUAGUUGGUGGGGUAAUGGCCUACCAAGCCGACGAUCCAUAGCUGGUUUGAGAGGAUGAUCAGCCACACUGGGACUGAGACACGGCCCAGACUCCUACGGGAGGCAGCAGUGGGGAAUCUUAGACAAUGGGGAAACCCUGAUCUAGCCAUGCCGCGUGAUCGAUGAAGGCCUUAGGGUUGUAAAGAUCUUUCAGGUGGGAAGAUAAUGACUGUACCACCAGAAGAAGCCCCGGCUAACUCCGUG